ACUUUCCCAAGAAAAGUUGCAAUAGAAGAUACAGAAACUGUACAUCCCGAAGACUAUGAUAAUGUCUAUGAAGACAUACUGAGCGAUGAACUUGAAUUUCAAACGGAUGUUAAUUCUCCAAUAGCUAAAGAGCACAUUAUUUAGGGAAGAUCGAUGGAUGGAACGCAGCUUCUGUCAUGUUUUUCGUUGGGACGACGAAAAAACUGUCAAUCUACACGAAAGAAAACUCUGUUUGGAAUGUGUUGCUUGCAAGAAAAAAUCAAACUGCCUCUGUUAUCUCCGUUGCCACCAUCGAUUCAAUCUUUAUAUGAAGGAUCAGAUAAGAUGUCCAAAUCUCUUC
rnacentral:lncRNA from 1 species